rnacentral:rRNA from 1 species
UAGUGAUCAUGGCUCAGAUUGAACGCUGGCGGCAGGCCUAACACAUGCAAGUCGAACGGUAACAGGAAGUGCUUGCACUUCGCUGACGAGUGGCGGACGGGUGAGUAAUGCUUGGGAACUUGCCUUUGCGAGGGGGAUAACAGUUGGAAACGACUGCUAAUACCGCAUAAUGUCUACGGACCAAACGGGGCUUAGGCUUCGGCGCAAAGAGAGGCCCAAGUGAGAUUAGCUAGUUGGUAAGGUAAAGGCUUACCAAGGCAACGAUCUCUAGCUGUUCUGAGAGGAAGAUCAGCCACACUGGAACUGAGACACGGUCCAGACUCCUACGGGAGGCAGCAGUGGGGAAUAUUGCACAAUGGGGGAAACCCUGAUGCAGCCAUGCCGCGUGUGUGAAGAAGGCCUUCGGGUUGUAAAGCACUUUCAGUUGUGAGGAAAAGUUAGUAGUUAAUACCUGCUAGCCGUGACGUUAACAACAGAAGAAGCACCGGCUAACUCCGU